rnacentral:tRNA from 1 species
CGGGACGUAGCUUAGCCUGGUAGAGCGCGUGGUUUGGGACCACGAGGCCGGAGGUUCGAAUCCUCUCGUCCCGACCA